UAACGCGUAUGCAACCUACCUUAUACAGGGGUAUAGCCCGGAGAAAUUCGGAUUAAUCCCCCAUGGUACUGAGACACCGCAUGGUGCUUCAGUUAAAGCUUCGGCGGUAUAAGAUGGGCAUGCGUCCUAUUAGCUAGAUGGUAAGGUAACGGCUUACCAUGGCUACGAUAGGUAGGGGGCCUGAGAGGGUGGUCCCCCACACUGGUACUGAGACACGGACCAGACUCC
rnacentral:rRNA from 1 species